UACGUAGGGUGCAAGCGUUAAUCGGAAUUACUGGGCGUAAAGCGUGCGCAGGCGGUUAUGUAAGACAGAUGUGAAAUCCCCGGGCUCAACCUGGGAACUGCAUUUGUGACUGCAUAGCUAGAGUACGGUAGAGGGGGAUGGAAUUCCGCGUGUAGCAGUGAAAUGCGUAGAUAUGCGGAGGAACACCGAUGGCGAAGGCAAUCCCCUGGACCUGUACUGACGCUCAUACACGAAAGCGUGGGGAGCAAACAGG
rnacentral:rRNA from 1 species